ACUCUUCAACCCACCAGUUUCUUGUAGACUGAUUGGUGUUUGGAUUUUGAGCGCUGCUGGUCUUCGGAUCUAGCUCGUUCGUAAUAUAUUAGCAUCUCUAAUUCGACUUCGGAUUGACUCAGUGUAAUAGACUAUUCGCUGAGGACACACCUAGUGUGGCCGAACGUUGAUCUCAGUAGAAGCUUCCAACUAUUGUAGUCAAUUUUAG
rnacentral:misc_RNA from 1 species